UGGGGAAUAUUGCACAAUGGGCGCAAGCCUGAUGCAGCCAUGCCGCGUGUGUGAAGAAGGCCUUCGGGUUGUAAAGCACUUUCAGCGGGGAGGAAGGCGGUGAGGUUAAUAACCUCAUCGAUUGACGUUACCCGCAGAAGAAGCACCGGCUAACUCCGUGCCAGCAGCCGCGGUAAUACGGAGGGUGCAAGCGUUAAUCGGAAUUACUGGGCGUAAAGCGCACGCAGGCGGUCUGUCAAGUCGGAUGUGAAAUCCCCGGGCUCAACCUGGGAACUGCAUUCGAAACUGGCAGGCUAGAGUCUUGUAGAGGGGGGUAGAAUUCCAGGUGUAGCGGUGAAAUGCGUAGAGAUCUGGAGGAAUACCAGUGGCGAAGGCGGCCCCCUGGACAAAGACUGACGCUCAGGUGCGAAAGCGUGGGGAGCAAACAGG
rnacentral:rRNA from 1 species